CUGUCUCUAAAUAAAAUAGACUGGCUCAGUGAUUAAGUGCCUCUGGGUUCAAUCCCCGGUACCUGCCCUCCCCUCGCCCCGCCAAAAAACAAAAAACAAAAACAAAAAAAAACCCAACGUUCACAUCUUGUGUUCGCAUUUGCGUACAAUUUUAAAAGUUUAAUAAGAGUCCAUCCCUGAGCCAUCACUAACUCCUGGCUGAGAAUCCCUGUUCCAGCCGCCGGUGCCAUUCCUCAGAUCGCGCCGCAGCUCCGGGACCCCUCCAGCCGGACUCUCCGCAGGACCCAGCCGGACCUUCGGGAAACUGGAGACCCGCAAUUUGAGAACCGCACAGGAGCGCAGCCAAUCGGAUGGCUGUCCGGGUGACGUCACCAGUUGCUAGGCGAAGGCCGCGGCCUCCAGCUCCGACCUUCUGCUCCUGCCAUCCGCCCGCUCCUCGUCUGUGCAGCAGGGCGCGAAGGCAGAGGCCAGGACGGAGGCGCCGGGUGCUUCCUGAAUGCAUGGCCGUGGCGCUGGACCCCGCCAGGGGGUCUGCGGUUGUGGGUGGACUUGAACUCACCGCCUACAGGGAUAAAGGAAUCAAGUAGGCGUCCCUGGCAUGGAGCCUUCGUUACUGGAAGGUGGAAGAUCCAAGCAGCCAGGGAAGGCUAGUGUGAUCCCUUUACACACACACACACACACACACACACGCCCCAGUGGAUAGGACACAUUUUCUCAAAAAAAAAAAAGCAAGGACUACACUUGUGGCGCUUGCCUCCCGGGGCGCCUUCCCCAGGUGGUAAGAUCCCCUGGUUAACAAGGGGACUUUGGGCCACCUGCCUGGGUUUGAAUCCUAGCUCCUCCGUUUCCUGGCUGUGUGGAUUUGGGCAAAUGGCAUCCUCUCCUUGCCUCGGUUUCCUCACAUAUCAAAUGAGGCUAAUAAUGACCUGUCUCUUAGGUUUGUUGGGAGGCUGCACCGAGACCGCUGUGGCACUGGGCAGGUGCUCAAAAGGCCAACAGAAACCCUUUCUGCUCCCAGGGCGUGGCCUGUCCCAAGCAGAGGAAAUGGAGCCAUCGCUGGCCACUGGCAGAUCUGGCAUGAAGGGGCUCCCAGCUCUCCAGGGACCCCUGGGGCUUUGAGCCAGGAAAGGGAAUUCAUUCAUGUUACAAGCACUUCCUGUGCCCCCUCUGUGCCAGACCCUGGGCUGGGAUCGCCAUACAGCAGGGAACAAAUUGAGAGGAUCACAACACCCUCCUACCCUCCUACCCUCCU
rnacentral:lncRNA from 1 species